UCCCAUGCGGUGGCUAUUGUAUGAAAAAAAGUGAAUUCAGAUCUGUGGCUAGUGGGAAGAGGAAAAUUCUGGACUGCUCAGUAGAACUUGUUGUCUUACAGCACAUUGAAACAAGGCAGCGAUCCAUCUCACCACCACUUCUGUGAGAAGUGCCAAUAUAACGCGUAACCACAAGGAGGAUUUUGAGACUUGCUAAAUACAGUAUGCAAGAUUUCUUCUUGACCAUGGAGUUCCAUGGGCAUUAACAUUCUCUUGUGCCAUUUACAACUGUGAGUAAAUGUAGUAAAAUGCAGUGGAUGAUUCAUGAUGACCUCAUGUCACCUUGCAAUAAAGUUAGGAUACUGCAUAAUCCAACUGUGUGUUAAGCUGGAGAAAAGUAUCUCAGAAGACUUUCAUACAUUUCCCUGAUCUCUUCUUCUCCUUUAUGUAUCUAACAGUCUGUCUAUCUAUCUAUUUAUCUAUUUUUGUAUGAGAGACUGCAUGGAAGGUGACCCAAUCAAAUGCCUCAGUGUGAAUCAUCAUAGACACAGAAAAUAAUGCAUGUAGUGGCAAAACUUAUGGUAAGCUCAAAAUCACCACUGGGCUUCGUUGGUGUUCCAUAUAACUGUAUCCCCAUGUGUAUAUCCAUAUAAAUGUAUCCCCAUACCAACUCUAUCCCCGGGCUGUCUAAUGCUGAUUGUUUCUCAAAGUGAGUAGUACAGGCUGUGAAUAUGUUUAUAUACAGGAGGUGGUUAUUGGUGUAGAAUGCUUAAUGGCUGUGUGCCCUCCUGCAUAUGAAAUGGCAUUCACAGUGCUAUGUCACUUAGCAUUAUAUCAGCCCUUGCUUAUUUAGUUUUAUUGCAACACAAGAACUGGUACAUUUAGCAUAAAUGUGCAGCAGUGUAUCCCUAUGGAGGAGAUGUUUAAGGCCAGUGUUUAAAUAUCAGAAUCCCACAGGCACAAAUUAAAAACAAUUUCUCCUUGCAACAUGUACAGCUCUUUUUCCCCAUUAGCAAGGGCCAGGCAUUGUUUCCUGGAAUGUCAGUAUUGCUGCAGCUCAGUAGUGGAUGUGACACUAAUUAAGGAGAGCAGAGGAGACAAAAGCACUCCUGUUGAAACUUUAGCAAAGCCACAGUCAAAUAUGGAUUUGACCCUACCAUUGGAUUUUGGACACCUGCGUCGAGCAAUACUUGUCCCUGUGCCAUCAAUUUGUAACCCAGGUUACUUCUCUUUUGCUUAUCUACUUUUGUAUCAGCUACCUACUGGAAACGUUUGGUUGUUGUUUUUUUUUCCUAUGGAACAAGCUGUUACUCAGGGAAAACACAUUUUAUUUAAUAUGCGUGUUUUAAGAAGCAAUCUGCUCUUUUGUCUUCACAGCAACAAUAAAAGAAGUUCUGAAAAACU
ensembl:lncRNA